GGUAACUUGUUCGUCCCCUCGCGACGAUAGGUUGGGAACUCCGCCAGGUCCGGAAGGAAGCAACGGUACCUUCUGAUUCGUGCGCCGAGGUAAGGCGGGCAGGUUACCUCUAUUU
rnacentral:SRP_RNA from 1 species